UACGGGGGGGGCAAGCGUUGUUCGGAAUUACUGGGCGUAAAGGGCGCGUAGGCGGUUCGCUAAGUUGAAUGUGAAAACUCUGGGCUUAACCCAGAGCCUGCAUUCAAUACUGGCGGGCUAGAGUUCUGGAGGGGAUAGCGGAAUUCGUGGUGUAGCGGUGAAAUGCGUAGAUAUCACGAGGAACACCGGAGGUGUAGACGGCCAGCUGGACAGGUACUGACGCUGAGGCACGAAAGCGUGGGGAGCGAACAGG
rnacentral:rRNA from 1 species